rnacentral:other from 1 species
GUGCCUCUGCGGUGUUCGUGAUGCGUCGCGCUCAAUUGGCGAACCGACACUAACCUGCUAGGGAGCCUUUAUUUAAGGCUCGCGCCGCUCGCAAGCCCAUCCCCGACGCCCCGCGCCGGGACUGUAGUGGGAUCCGAAACGCGCGGGCGAGGUUCCCCUUUCAAGUAGCGGGUUCCCAACAAGCGACGCACACGGCACAGGCGGAGGUUUU